rnacentral:tRNA from 1 species
GCUAUUUUGGCAGAUAAGUGCGUUGGAUUUAGAAUCUAUUAAUGUAAAGCGUUGGCUUUAUGAAUAGUA